rnacentral:rRNA from 1 species
GUGUCAGCAGCCGCGGUAAUACGGAGGGUGCGAGCGUUAAUCGGAAUAACUGGGCGUAAAGGGCACGCAGGCGGUUGUUUAAGUGGGAUGUGAAAGCCCCGGGCUUAACCUGGGAAUUGCAUUUCAGACUGGACAACUAGAGUACUUUAGGGAGGGGUAGAAUUCCACGUGUAGCGGUGAAAUGCGUAGAGAUGUGGAGGAAUACCGAAGGCGAAGGCAGCCCCUUGGGAAUGUACUGACGCUCAUGUGCGAAAGCGUGGGGAGCAAACAGGAUUAGAUACCCUGGUAGUCCACGCUGUAAACGCUGUCGAUUUGGGGAUUGGGCUUAGAGCUUGGUGCCCGUAGCUAACGUGAUAAAUCGACCGCCUGGGGAGUACGGCCGCAAGGUUAAA